UACGUAGGUGGCAAGCGUUGUCCGGAUUUACUGGGCGUAAAGAGCGCGCAGGCGGUCGUUCAAGUCGCGUGUGAAAGCCCCCGGCUCAACUGGGGAGGGUCACGCGAUACUGAUCGACUCGAAGGCAGGAGAGGGUAGUGGAAUUCCCGGUGUAGUGGUGAAAUGCGUAGAUAUCUGGAGGAACACCGGUGGCGAAGGCGACAUCCUGGACCGGCAUUGACGCUGAGGCGCGAAAGCCAGGGGAGCAAACGGG
rnacentral:rRNA from 1 species